GGUUCUGUAGCACAGUUGGUUAGAGCGCUGCACCGGAAUCGCAGGGUCGUAGGUUUGAUUCCUGCCAGAGAGCCU
rnacentral:tRNA from 1 species